rnacentral:rRNA from 1 species
AACGAACGCUGGCGGCAUGCCUAACACAUGCAAGUCGAACGAUUGCCUUCGGGUGAUAGUGGCGCACGGGUGCGUAACGCGUGGGAAUCUGCCCUUAGGUUCGGAAUAACAGCUGGAAACGGCUGCUAAUACCGGAUGAUAUCGCGAGAUCAAAGAUUUAUCGCCUGAGGAUGAGCCCGCGUUGGAUUAGGUAGUUGGUGGGGGAAAGGCCUACCAAGCCGACGAUCCAAAGCUGGUCUGAGAGGAGGAUCAGCCACACUGGGACGGGGACAAGGCCCAAAUUCUGCAGGAGGGCAGAAGUGGGGAUUUUGGAACAUUGGGGGAAGGCCGAAGCCAGCAUGACGGGUAAGGUGUUGAAGGCCUGAGGUUGGUAAGCUCUUUUACCCGGGAAGAUAAUGACUGUACCGGGAGAAUAAGCCCCGGCUAACUCCGUG